GCUGGGCAUGGUGUUGUAUGCCUAUAGUCCCAGCUGCUUGGGAGGCUGAGGCAGGAGGAUUGCUUGAGCCCAGGAGUUGGAGGUUAUAGUGAGCUAUGAUUGCAGCACUGCACUCCAGCCUGGGUGACAGAGUGAAACCCUGCCUCUU
ensembl:misc_RNA Metazoa_SRP Metazoan signal recognition particle RNA